AGAGUUUGAUCAUGGCUCAGGACGAACGCUGGCGGCGUGCCUAAUACAUGCAAGUCGAGCGGAUUUACGAGAGCUUGCUCUCGUAAAUUAGCGGCGGACGGGUGAGUAACACGUGGGCAACCUGCCUAUAAGACUGGGAUAACUUCGGGAAACCGGAGCUAAUACCGGAUAACUCACAUCUACUCAUGUAGAUGUGCUGAAAGACGGUUUACGCUGUCACUUAUAGAUGGGCCCGCGGCGCAUUAGCUAGUUGGUGAGGUAACGGCUCACCAAGGCCACGAUGCGUAGCCGACCUGAGAGGGUGAUCGGCCACACUGGGACUGAGACACGGCCCAGACUCCUACGGGAGGCAGCAGUAGGGAAUCUUCCGCAAUGGACGAAAGUCUGACGGAGCAACGCCGCGUGAGUGAUGAAGGUUUUCGGAUCGUAAAACUCUGUUGUUAGGGAAGAAUAAGUACCAGAGUAACUGCUGGUACCUUGACGGUACCUAACCAGAAAGCCACGGCUAACUACGUGCCAGCAGCCGCGGUA
rnacentral:rRNA from 1 species